UGUUGCUUGUCAGGCGAGGAGCAAUAGUCACUACCUUCAUUGUGUGUUAUGCUCUUACAUCUUUUAUUUCUGGUUAUGUGAGUGGGGGAAUGUACUCGCGGAAUGGAGGUAAAAACUGGAUUAAAUCCAUGAUCCUUACAGCUUCUCUGUUCCCAUUCAUGUGCUUUGGAAUUGGAUUUAUCUUAAACACCAUUGCUAUAUUCUAUGGGUCUCUGGCGGCAAUUCCAUUUGGCACAAUAGUGAUUGUAUUUGUCAUUUGGGCUUUCAUCUCUUUCCCUCUAGCACUUCUUGGCACAGUUGUUGGAAGAAACUGGAGUGGUGCUUUGAAUAAUCCCUGUCGUGUGAAGACUAUUCCUCGUCCCAUUCCUGAAAAGAAGUGGUACCUCACACCUUCUGUGGUUUCUCUGAUGGGAGGACUGCUACCCUUUGGAAGCAUAUUUAUUGAAAUGUAUUUUGUAUUCACUUCCUUCUGGAAUUACAAGGUGUACUAUGUGUAUGGUUUUAUGCUGCUAGUCUUUCUAAUUCUUAUCAUCGUUACAGUUUGUGUGACAAUUGUGGGAACAUACUUUUUGUUAAAUGCUGAAAACUACCACUGGCAAU
rnacentral:sRNA from 1 species